rnacentral:rRNA from 1 species
GACGGUCGUCCCGGUUCAAGCAGGUAGGCAGAGUGAUUAGGCAAAUCCGGUCACUUAAUGCUGAGAUGUGAUGACGAACCACUAAGGUGGUGAAGCAAUUGAUGCCCCGCUUCCAGGAAAAGCCUCUAAGCUUCAGGUUACCAACAAUCGUACCCCAAACCGACACAGGUGGUCAGGUAGAGAAUACUCAGGCGCUUGAGAGAACUCGGGUGAAGGAACUAGGCAAAAUGGUGCCGUAACUUCGGGAGAAGGCACGCUGGCGGUAGGUAAAGUCCCUUGCGGACGGCGCUGAAGCCAGUCGAAGAUACCAGCUGGCUGCAACUGUUUAUUAAAAACACAGCACUGUGCAAACACGAAAGUGGACGUAUACGGUGUGACGCCUGCCCGGUGCUGGAAGGUUAAUUGAUGGGGUCAGCCGUAAGGCGAAGCUCCUGAUCGAAGCCCCAGUAAACGGCGGCCGUAACUAUAACGGUCCUAAGGUAGCGAAAUUCCUUGU